UACAAAACAAAACAGAGUACAAUAUCAA
rnacentral:sRNA from 1 species